rnacentral:misc_RNA from 1 species
CAGGGACCAAAUUGUAAAUUGAAAAUUUCUCUAUCAAAAACAGUAAUGCUUAUAUUUAUUUUGGUUUCCAGUGAGCAUAUAAUCAAGUGACUAUCACAGCAGGAGCUGCAGAGAAGUGGAAGCAAGAAUCAUGAGCUUUGUUUGAUGAAAGCAGAGAAAAGUUAUUACUUGAAGAUUCAUCUAUGGAGCUUCCUGCUUCUGUGGAAGAACUCGACCAUUUCAUUUGCAUGAAGCUUCUCUUUCUCCAUGGGCCCAUAUGGAUUUUCUUCUC